rnacentral:lncRNA from 1 species
CCGGCCGAGCUGUCGCCGCCGCCGCCUGGGCUGCCGCAGACCGCGGGAGAGCGUCUGCGCGAAGCCCCAGCGCAGCCCCGGCGGGACCGCCGCCGCCGCCCGAGAGCGAGCAACAGCUUCUGGGCUGGAAGAGCCACUGCCCCCACGCACCAGCGGCCCGCGCGCGAAGGAGCACUGACCUGGGGAUGCAGAUUCCAGCUCUCGGUCUGUCUUUACUGCUCACAUGAGACGUUGGCAAAGCUCUUUCUUUUCUGGACUCCUCCCUGUGGAUGGACUGUGUGGGUUACACGGCUUCCUGGGUCUGCUUCAGCACCAGAUGCCAUGUGGGAUCCUCACGUGGGGCAGAAGCGCAGGUUGAGGGAGGAAAUAAGGAUAUUCUGAUGACGCUGGUGUUGGUGCCUCCUCC